rnacentral:rRNA from 1 species
UACGGGGGGGGCAAGCGUUGUUCGGAAUUACUGGGCGUAAAGGGCUCGUAGGCGGCCAACUAAGUCAGACGUGAAAUCCCCAGGCUCAACCUGGGAACUGCGUCUGAUACUGGAAGGCUUGAAUCCGGGAGAGGGAUGCGGAAUUCCAGGUGUAGCGGUGAAAUGCGUAGAUAUCUGGAGGAACACCGGUGGCGAAGGCGGCAUCCUGGACCGGCAUUGACGCUGAGGCGCGAAAGCCAGGGGAGCAAACGGG